rnacentral:tRNA from 2 species
GCGAUGGUGAUAUAAUGGUUAGCAUAAUUGUCUUUCAAAGUAGUUGAUUCGGUUUUGAUUCCCGGCUAUUGUA